rnacentral:tRNA from 1 species
AAAGGGUAAGCUAAGAGAAGCUUGAAGGUUCAUACCCUUCCUAUAAUUUACAUUUCCUUU